GACGAACGCUGGCGGCGUGCCUAAUACAUGCAAGUAGAACGCUGAAGGAGGAGCUUGCUUCUCUGGAUGAGUUGCGAACGGGUGAGUAACGCGUAGGUAACCUGCCUGGUAGCGGGGGAUAACUAUUGGAAACGAUAGCUAAUACCGCAUAAUAGCAGUUGUUGCAUGAUAACUGUUUGAAAGGUGCAAUUGCACCACUACCAGAUGGACCUGCGUUGUAUUAGCUAGUUGGUGGGGUAACGGCUCACCAAGGCGACGAUACAUAGCCGACCUGAGAGGGUGAUCGGCCACACUGGGACUGAGACACGGCCCAGACUCCUACGGGAGGCAGCAGUAGGGAAUCUUCGGAAAUGGACGGAAGGCUGACCGAGCAACGCCGCGUGAGUGAAGAAGGUUUUCGGAUCGUAAAGCUCUGUUGUAAGAGAAGAACGAGUGUGAGAGUGGAAAGUUCACACUGUGACGGUAUCUUACCAGAAAGGGACGGCUAACUACGUG
rnacentral:rRNA from 1 species